GAAGGAGCUUGUGAACAAGUUCAUCCCUGAGGUGAUUGGAAAGGAGAUUGAGAAGGCCACCUCAAGCAUCUUCCCGCUCCAGAACGUGUACGUCCGCAAGGUGAAGAUCCUGAAGGCCCCGAAGUUUGACCUGGGAAAGCUCAUGGAGGUAAUUGUCUAAUGGCAUCAUCAUAUUGACUGUAAUUGUUGUUCUCCUUGUGUACUGGAAUUCUAAUGCGGCCCAUGUUUCCUGUUCCAGGUGCACGGUGACUACAAGGAGGAUGUUGGUGUGAAGCUUGACAGGCCUGAUGGAGAUGAGGUCAUUCCUGGUGCGGAGGAGGUUGCUGCUGCUGAGUAGAAAAAUAGAAGUCGCUAUUUUGCUGCUUCUUAUCUAGAAGAUGAUAUAUGUGCCACCUGGGUGUCGUGAACUUUGUAGUCAGUUUUGAUGGC
rnacentral:lncRNA from 1 species